CCUACGGGGGGCAGCAGUGAGGAAUAUUGGUCAAUGGACGAGAGUCUGAACCAGCCAAGUAGCGUGAAGGAUGACUGCCCUAUGGGUUGUAAACUUCUUUUAUAUGGGAAUAAAAUGUUCCACGUGUGGGAUUUUGUAUGUACCAUAUGAAUAAGGAUCGGCUAACUCCGUGCCAGCAGCCGCGGUAAUACGGAGGAUCCGAGCGUUAUCCGGAUUUAUUGGGUUUAAAGGGAGCGUAGGUGGAUUGUUAAGUCAGUUGUGAAAGUUUGCGGCUCAACCGUAACAUUGCAGUUGAAACUGGCAGUCUUGAGUACAGUAGAGGUGGGCGGAAUUCGUGGUGUAGCGGUGAAAUGCUUAGAUAUCACGAAGAACUCCGAUUGCGAAGGCAGUUCACUGAACUGCAACUGACACUGAGGCUCGAAAGUGUGGGUAUCAAACAGGAUUAGAUACCCUAGUAGUC
rnacentral:rRNA from 1 species